GCCCUUAGGGUUAGUGUGAGCAUUGUUUGGGGUCCCACAGCCCUUAGGGUCAGUGUGAGCAUCAUUUAGGGUCCUGCUGUCCUUAGGGUCAGUGUGAGCAUCAUUUGGGGUCCUGCAGCCCUUAGGGUCAGUGUGAGCGCUGUUUGGGGUCCCAGUGCUCUUAGGGCUGGUGUGAGCACAGUCCCACUGUCCUUAGGGUUGGUGUGAACAUGGUUUG
rnacentral:lncRNA from 1 species